rnacentral:rRNA from 1 species
CUACGUGCCAGCAGCCGCGGUAAUACGUAGGUCCCGAGCGUUGUCCGGAUUUAUUGGGCGUAAAGCGAGCGCAGGCGGUUUGAUAAGUCUGAAGUUAAAGGCUGUGGCUCAACCAUAGUUCGCUUUGGAAACUGUCAAACUUGAGUGCAGAAGGGGAGAGUGGAAUUCCAUGUGUAGCGGUGAAAUGCGUAGAUAUAUGGAGGAACACCGGUGGCGAAAGCGGCUCUCUGGUCUGUAACUGACGCUGAGGCUCGAAAGCGUGGGGAGCGAACAGGAUUAGAUACCCUGGUAGUCCACGCCGUAAACGAUGAGUGCUAGGUGUUGGAUCCUUUCCGGGAUUCAGUGCCGCAGCUAACGCAUUAAGCACUCCGCCUGGGGAGUACGACCGCAAGGUUGAAACUCAAAGGAAUUGACGGGGGCCCGCACAAGCGGUGGAGCAUGUGGUUUAAUUCGAAGCAACGCGAAGAACCUUACCAGGUCUUGACAUCCCGAUGCUAUUUCUAGAGAUAGAAAGUU